AAAAAGACAAACCCUAGAUUUCCGUGUCCAACUUUGACUGUCCGUCUUAUAUGAAAUUUUUUUAUAAUUCGUAUUUUCAUUGUUGUUAGAUGAUAAAACAUGAUUAAUAUUUUAUACGUGACUUGUCUUUUUAAUUUUUAUAUAAUUUUUUCAAAUAAGACGGACGGUCAAACGUUGGACACGGAAACCAGAGUUUGUAUUUUUU
rnacentral:pre_miRNA from 1 species